CGGGGCUGCAGGCGGGCAGGGCGCUGAGCGCGGCUUGGCUGGCUGCUGCCACAAGGACUAAGCAGGCUGGAUAUUGGAGUUGAGCUUCCUGGGUCAGACACUGCUGCCUCCAUUACGAUCUGGGAAUCAAGACUGAGCAGCUGCUGCUCCCCUGACGGAGUCAAGGCUAGGGAGUGACCUUAAGUAAAGCCUCCUCUGUGCCCAGACAAGGCUGCAGCGCAACAUCCAUGUUUUGCUCCAGAUCAGUCCAUCCUUCCUGGGGCCAGGGAAGGGAAAUGGCUGCAGUGGAGCCAGUUGAGGGGCUGAUGACCUUCGAGGAGGUGGCUG